CUGCUGUAGCAUUGCCGCCUCUUCCAGGACCCAGCAGACAAAUAUAGAAACAAAGGGAAACUACUGAUGCCUUUAAAUUGUUAUCACCACCAGUGACCUUGAGGAAGGUGUAUAAAAAGUCUGCAUCAAGCAGAAUCCUGAUACUUUUCUUCUUUGCUUUACAGGACUAGAUCCUUUUCUUCUCUCUUUGGGCUGCACUGUCUAGAGAACUCGCCAAGAUGAUGGACAUGUCGGAAUUCGGGGAGGCUUCACCUUUCCUCAGGAAGAGCGAGAAGGAGAUAAUGAUAUUACAAACUGUGGCAUUUGAUGGGAAGAAGAGGUGUUGGAUUCCUGAUGAAAAGAACGCUUAUAUUGAAGCUGAUAUUAAAGAGAGCAGCGGUGGCAAAGUCACUGUUGAGACUGUGGAUGGAAAGACCGUCACUGUAAAAGAAGAUGAUGUUCAGCCGAUGAACCCCCCGAAGUUUGACAUGAUUGAGGACAUGGCUAUGUUGACUCACCUUAAUGAGGCAUCUGUGCUGCACAAUUUGAACAGGCGCUAUAGCCACUGGAUGAUUUAUACCUAUUCAGGUUUAUUCUGCGUGACUAUAAACCCCUACAAAUGGCUUCCAGUCUACAACCCGGAAGUAGUUAAUGCAUACAAAGGCAAGAGGCGGUCAGAGUCUCCCCCUCACAUCUUCUCCAUUGCAGAUAACGCGUACAAUGACAUGCUGCGCAAUCGAGAGAACCAGUCUAUGCUGAUCACUGGAGAAUCUGGUGCCGGCAAGACUGUGAAUACAAAGCGUGUCAUUCAGUAUUUUGCCACAGUUGCAGCACUCGGGGAACCUGGUAAAAAAAGUCAACCAGCCACCAAGACUGGGGGAACCUUGGAAGAUCAAAUCAUCCAAGCAAAUCCUGCCUUAGAAGCCUUUGGGAAUGCCAAAACCCUGAGAAAUGACAACUCCUCACGUUUUGGUAAAUUUAUCAGAAUCCAUUUUGGAACCACAGGCAAGCUGUCAUCUGCUGAUAUUGAAAUUUAUUUGCUGGAGAAAUCCCGAGUGAUUUUCCAGCAGCCAGGUGAAAGAUCCUAUCAUAUCUUCUACCAAAUCCUGUCAGGAAAGAAAGCAGAGCUACAAGAUAUGUUGCUGGUGUCUACCAAUCCCUAUGACUUCCACUUUUGUUCACAAGGGGCAGUGACUGUGGACAAUUUGGAUGACGGAGAAGAGCUGAUGGCAACAGAUCAAGCCAUGGACAUCUUGGGAUUUAUUCCCGAUGAAAAAUAUGGUGCCUACAAGCUUACUGGUUCGAUCAUGCACUUUGGAAACAUGAAAUUUAAACAAAGACCCAGGGAGGAGCAAGCAGAGACUGAUGGCACUGAAAAUACUGAUAAAGCUGCUUACCUGAUGGGACUUAACUCCUCUGAUUUGGUUAAGGGUUUGUUGCACCCCAGAGUGAAAGUUGGAAAUGAGUACGUCACCAAAGGUCAAAGUGUCGAACAGGUUGUGUAUGCUGUUGGGGCCUUAUCCAAGGCAGUGUAUGAUCGAAUGUUCAAGUGGCUGGUGAUCCGUAUUAACAAGACCUUGGACACUAGGCUGCCAAGACAGUUCUUCAUUGGGGUCUUGGACAUUGCUGGCUUUGAAAUCUUUGAUUAUAACAGCUUUGAGCAACUUUGCAUCAAUUACACAAACGAAAAACUGCAACAGUUUUUCAAUCACCACAUGUUUGUCUUGGAGCAAGAAGAAUACAAAAAGGAAGGCAUUGAAUGGGUAUUCAUUGAUUUUGGCUUGGACUUGCAGGCCUGCAUUGACCUAAUUGAAAAGCCAUUGGGCAUCCUGUCUAUCCUGGAAGAGGAGUGCAUGUUCCCAAAGGCUACAGAUAUGACAUUCAAAGCCAAACUUUAUGACAACCAUCUUGGCAAGUCACCCAACCUUCAGAAACCUCGGAUUGACAAGAAAAAGAAAUUUGAAGCCCACUUUGAACUUCUUCAUUAUGCUGGUGCGGUGCCCUAUAACAUCAUUGGCUGGCUUGAGAAAAACAAAGACCCACUUAAUGAAACUGUGGUGGGCAUUUUUCAAAAAUCUGCCAACAAACUGCUGGGAAGCCUGUUUGAAAAUUAUGUCAGUGCUGACUGUGUUGAUCACAGUGCAGAAAAGAAACGCAAGAAAGGAGCUUCCUUCCAAACAGUGUCAUCGCUACACAAAGAAAAUUUAAAUAAACUGAUGACUAACCUGAGAUCUACAGCUCCUCACUUUGUGCGCUGUAUUAUCCCCAAUGAAACUAAAACUCCAGGUGCAAUGGAUGCUUACCUUGUCCUCCACCAGCUUCGCUGUAAUGGUGUCCUGGAAGGAAUCCGUAUUUGCCGUAAGGGAUUUCCAAACAGAGUGAUUUAUGCUGACUUUAAACAAAGGUACCGUAUUCUGAAUCCAGCUGCCAUUCCAGAAGAUAAGUUUGUAGACAGCAGAAAAGCUUCUGAAAAACUGCUGGGUUCUUUAGAUAUUGACCAAACCCAGUAUCGUUUUGGACACACAAAGGUAUUCUUUAAGGCUGGUCUCCUGGGCCAUCUGGAAGAAAUGAGGGAUCAUAGACUAUCCAAGAUCCUAACACUGAUCCAAGCAAGAGCACGAGGCAAACUGAUGCGUAUUGAGUUCCAAAAAAUAGUGGAGCGAAGAGAUGCCCUUCUCGUGAUCCAGUGGAACAUUCGAGCUUUCAUGGCUGUGAAGAACUGGCCCUGGAUGAAGCUUUUCUUCAAGAUCAAGCCCCUUCUGAAGUCCGCAGAAACUGAAAAGGAAAUGGCCAAUAUGAAGGAGGAAUUCUUGAGGCUGAAGGAGGCCUUGGAAAAAUCUGAAGCCAGGAGGAAGGAAUUGGAAGAAAAGCAAGUUUCUCUGGUUCAGGAGAAGAAUGACUUGCUCCUUCAGCUCCAGGCAGAGCAAGACACACUAGCAGAUGCAGAAGAACGAUGCGACAUGCUGAUUAAAUCCAAGAUCCAGAUGGAGGCAAAAGUCAAAGAACUGACAGAGCGGGUGGAGGAUGAAGAGGAGAUGAACUCUGAGUUGACCUCCAAGAAGAGAAAACUGGAAGAUGAGUGCUCUGAAUUGAAGAAAGACAUUGAUGACCUUGAAAUAACAUUGGCAAAAGUAGAGAAAGAAAAACAUGCUACUGAAAAUAAGGUCAAAAAUCUGACAGAAGAAAUGGCAUCUCUGGAUGAGACCAUAAGCAAACUUACUAAAGAGAAGAAAUCUUUGCAGGAAGCUCACCAGCAAGCUCUGGAUGACCUACAGGCAGAGGAAGACAAGGUCAACACACUGAGCAAAACUAAGCUGAAACUAGAACAGCAAGUAGAUGAUCUUGAGGGCUCACUAGAACAAGAGAAGAAAAUAAGGAUGGACCUGGAAAGGGUCAAACGCAAACUGGAAGGGGAUUUGAAGCUGACCCAGGAGAGUCUCAUGGAUUUGGAAAAUGAUAAGUUGCAGUUGGAUGAAAAGUUAAAGAAGAAAGAAUUUGAAACAAAUCAGCUGAACUCCAAGCUGGAGGAUGAACAAACCCUAGUGAUGCAACUCCAGAAGAAGAUCAAGGAGCUGCAGGCUCGUAUAGAGGAGCUAGAAGAGGAGCUGGAAGCAGAAAGAGCUGCCCGAGCCAAGGUGGAAAAGCAGAGAUCGGAUCUGGCUCGAGAGCUGGAGGAGCUGAGUGAGCGGCUGGAGGAGGCUGGAGGAGCCACUGCAGCACAGCUGGAGAUGAACAAGAAGCGGGAGGCCGAGUUCCUGAAGCUGCGGCGGGACCUCGAGGAGGCCACGCUGCACUAUGAGGCGACAGCUGCCACCCUGAGGAAGAAGCACGCAGACAGCAUGGCGGAGCUGGGGGAGCAAGUGGACAACCUGCAGCGUGUCAAGCAGAAACUAGAGAAAGAGAAGAGUGAGCUGAAGCUGGAGGUGGACGACCUGUCAUCCAACAUGGAGCAGAUGGUCAAGGGAAAAUCGAAUGCGGAAAAACUUUGUCGCACAUAUGAAGACAACCUCAAUGAGACAAAGACUAAACUGGAUGAAAUGACUCGCUUAAUGAAUGACCUCACCACCCAAAAAGGAAAGCUGCAAACUGAGAAUGGUGAAUUUGCAAGACAGCUAGAAGAGAAAGAGUCACUGAUAAGUCAGCUUUCCAGAGGGAAGACAUCAUUCACUCAGCAGAUUGAAGAACUUAGAAGACUGCUGGAAGAGGAAACCAAGUCCAAGAAUGCCCUUGCUCAUGCACUGCAAGCUGCCAGGCACGACUGCGAUCUUUUGCGGGAGCAGUUUGAAGAGGAGCAAGAAGCCAAGGCAGAGCUGCAGCGGGCUCUGUCCAAGGGAAAUGCAGAAGUGGCACAGUGGAGGACUAAAUAUGAAACUGAUGCCAUUCAAAGAACUGAGGAGUUAGAAGAAGCCAAAAAAAAGCUAGCGGCUCGCCUACAGGAAGCUGAGGAAGCAAUUGAGGCAGCCAAUGCCAAGUGCUCUUCCCUGGAGAAGACAAAGCACAGGCUGCAGAAUGAACUGGAGGACAUCAUGAUUGACUUAGAAAGGGCCAAUUCGGCAGCGGCAGCCCUGGACAAGAAGCAGCGCAAUUUUGACAAGCUCAUCAGUGACUGGAAGCAGAAGUACGAGGAGACGCAAGCAGAGCUUGAAGCUUCCCAGAAGGAAGCCCGCAACCUGAGCACAGAGCUGUUUAAACUGAAGAAUGCCUAUGAAGAGACUCUGGACAAUCUGGAGACAGUGAAAAGGGAAAACAAGAAUCUCCAAGAGGAGAUUUCUGAUCUGACUGAUCAGAUUAGUGAAGGAAACAAGAGCCUUCAUGAGAUAGAAAAACUCAAGAAACAGGUUGAACAAGAAAAGUCAGAAGUUCAGUUAGCCCUGGAAGAAGCUGAGGGAGCCCUGGAGCAUGAAGAAAGCAAAAGCCUUCGUUUCCAACUUGAAAUUUCUCAGAUUAAAGCAGAGUUUGAAAGAAAACUGGCAGAAAAGGAGGAGGAAAUGGAAAACAUUAGGAGAAACCAGCAGCGUACCAUAGACUCGCUGCAGUCCACCCUUGAUUCUGAAGCCAAGAGCAGAAAUGAGGCCAUCCGGCUGAAGAAGAAGAUGGAAGGGGACCUCAACGAGAUGGAAAUCCAGCUCAGCCAUGCUAACAGGCAUGCCUCAGAGGCAAUAAAGUCUGCACGUAUCCUGCAGGCACAAAUAAAGGACCUGCAAGUGCAGUUGGAUGAUUCAGAACACCUGAAUGAAGACCUGAAGGAGCAACUGGCGGUCACUGACAGGCGGAACAAUCUUCUCCAGUCAGAGCUUGAUGAGCUGAGGGCCCUGCUAGACCAGACUGAACGUGGGCGUAAGCUGGCAGAACACGAGCUACUGGAAGCCACCGAACGUGUGAACCUUCUCCACACCCAGAACACAAGCCUUAUCAAUCAGAAGAAGAAGCUGGAGACUGACAUCUCUCAGAUGCAGAAUGAAGUGGAGGAGGCUAUACAGGAGUGCAGGAACGCUGAAGAAAAAGCCAAGAAAGCUAUCACCGAUGCAGCAAUGAUGGCUGAGGAGCUUAAAAAGGAGCAAGAUACUAGUGCCCACUUGGAGAGAAUGAAAAAGAACAUGGAACAGACUAUUAAAGAUCUACAGAAAAGGCUGGAUGAAGCAGAGCAAAUAGCACUGAAAGGUGGCAAGAAGCAGAUCCAAAAGCUGGAAUCCAGAGUACGUGAGCUGGAAAAUGAUCUCGAGAAUGAACUCCGUCGUAAUACAGAAUCCCAGAAAGGAGUCCGCAAAUAUGAGAGACGCAUAAAGGAGCUGACUUAUCAGGCAGAGGAAGAUAAGAAGAAUCUGACCAGGAUGCAGGAGCUGAUCGAUAAGCUGCAAUUAAAAGUGAAAAGCUAUAAGCAUCAAGCUGAGGAAGCUGAAGCACAAUCCAAUCAGUAUCUUGCAAAGUACAGGAAGCAGCAACAUGAGCUGGAUGAUGCUGAAGAACGGGCUGAAAUAGCUGAAUCUCAAGUUAAUAAACUGAGGACCAAGACAAGAGAUAUUGGGAUAAAAAAGGUACGGUGUUAUUCUGCAGAAUAAGUGAGUCUCCGCACACUGACACAUGUGCACACAUACUUGCAGAGGAAGGCGAACUGAUCAGCACAGCUCUACAAAGGUUCAAGAAGAGGAGUAAACAUACUAUGCACUGAGUAACUGAAGACUGAACAGUGUUUGAUGCUUCCUAUUAAUUGAUGAGCUACACAGUUAAAGUAGAAUAGGCACCUUAAGAAAUAAAAAUGAAAUAUAAACCCAAA